rnacentral:rRNA from 1 species
CUUUUCUUGUUCUUAUAUGAAAUAUGGCCUGCCCAUUGAUAAUAAUACUUAACGGCCGCGGUAUUUUGACUGUGCAAAGGUAGCAUAAUCAUUAGUCUUUUAAUUGAAGACUGGAAUGAAUGGUUGGACAAAAUGCUUUCUGUCUUGUAUUUAUUUAAUUUAUAUUAGAAUUUAAUUAUUGUGUUAAAAGGCUUAAAUUUUUUUAUGGGACGAUAAGACCCUAUAGAGUUUUAUAAUAAUUAAUUUAUUUUUGUUAGUUAUUUAUUUUAUUUUAUUUAUUUUUUGGUUGGGGUGAUUUUUGGAUAUAUUUAACUCUUUAAAUAUAUAUAUACUUAUUUGUAUAUUAUUAUGAUCCAUAUUUGAUGAUUAAAAGACUAAAUUACCUUAGGGAUAACAGCGUAAUUUUAUUUGAGAGUUCAUAUUGACAAUAAAGAUUGCGACCUCGAUGUUGGAUUAAGGUAAUAAUAUUGGGUGUAGCAGCUUAUAUAAAUAAGUCUGUCCGACUUUUUAAUCCUUACA